AGAGUUUGAUCCUGGCUCAGAAUGAACGCUGGCGGCGUGCUUAACACAUGCAAGUCGAACGAGAAAAGCCUGAUUUCGGUUGGGCGAGUAAAGUGGCGCACGGGUGAGUAACGCGUAGACAACCUACCCCCGGGACUGGGAUAACUACUCGAAAGGGUGGCUAAUACCGCAUGAGACCACGGGGCCGUAAAGACCCUGAGGCCAAAGGCUGCAUCGGCUUGCCGGUGCAGUCACCGGGGGAUGGGCCCGCGUCCGAUUAGCUAGUUGGCGAGGUAACGGCUCACCAAGGCUACGAUCGGUAGCUGGUCUGAGAGGAUGAUCAGCCACACUGGAACUGGAACACGGUCCAGACUCCUACGGGAGGCAGCAGUGAGGAAUAUUGCGCAAUGGGGGAAACCCUGACGCAGCAACGCCGCGUGGGUGAAGAAGGCCUUCGGGUCGUAAAGCCCUUUCGGACGGGACGAACGCUCACCGGUGACAAGCCGGGGGGAGCCUGACGGUACCGUAGGAAGAAGCAACCGGCUAACUCCGUGCCAGCAGCCGCGGUAAUA
rnacentral:rRNA from 1 species